rnacentral:rRNA from 1 species
AUUGAACGCUGGCGGCAGGCCUAACACAUGCAAGUCGAGCGAGCGGCGGACGGGUGAGUAAUGUCUGGGAAUCUGCCUGGUAGUGGGGGAUAACGUCCGGAAACGGGCGCUAAUACCGCAUACCAUCAGAUGUGCCCAGAUGGGAUGAGCUAGUGGGUGGGGUAACGGCUCACCUAGGCGACGAUCCCUAGCUGGUCUGAGAGGAUGACCAGCCACACUGGAACUGAGACACGGUCCAGACUCCUACGGGAGGCAGCAGUGGGGAAUAUUGCACAAUGGGCGCAAGCCUGAUGCAGCCAUGCCGCGUGUAUGAAGAAGGCCUUCGGGUUGUAAAGUACUUUCAGCGGGGAGGCGUUACCCGCAGAAGAAGCACCGGCUAACUCCGUGCCAGCCGCCGCGGUAAUAC